GGCGUUUGUUGGCUUUUGUGCCGCUUCAGAAUGUAAUAAAAUUUGAUAAAAAGAAGAUUUUUAGCUACAACAAGUGAGUUUUUUUGGCUAAUUAUUGUAGAAAUUACAUGUCAAUACAUUCAGCAAUUCAAAAUGUCGGCUUCCUUAGUUACAGACAAGGAGAUAGAAAAUUUUACGCUAACUGUCAUCCAAUCAGAACCAUUGAUAGAAAAUAAUU
rnacentral:lncRNA from 1 species